AUUUCAAAACACUAACCAGUGUGCUCUUUUACCUAUAAAACACAAUUAUUUACAUAAUUUUUAUUUAGAAUUAAUCAAUAAUGUCUUUACUAAUACGGACCGAUGUAACCGCUGUAAAGUUUUACAAGAAAUACGUGUUAGCCGGUAUUGGAAAUACUAUAAACGUAUUCAGUAAGGUAUCUACGAAGUUAUUACAGCGUUUAAUUGGUUUAAACGGUCAGAAAAUAUAUGGGUUUGUACCUUCGAAAUGUGGUACGAAAAUACUUGUGUUUGGUGGUAAACAGUUUACUGUAAUUACUCUAGUGAACUCUGAAGGGUGUAAUGAGGGAAACGAGGUGUUUUGUAGAGUAUUUAAGUCUGUAGUAUGUGAUGACUGGCUCCAUUCUGCUGUUUGGGUGACUGAUGAAGUUGUUGCUCUGUUAACAGCUCACAAUGUGGUUCAGAAAUGGAACACCGCCACUCAAACACUGCUAUCACAGCAGCCCAGCCACAAUAACUCCAUACUGUACAGCGGACUGCUGCUGGCUCUGCAGGAUGAUGUGCUGGUGAUGGCAGGCACUGUGUUCUCCGAGGUCAUCAUACAUAGAGCUAGCAAGGAUGAGGCACUACACCAUUUGAAAGGACAUAAGGGUGUAAUAUUCUCAAUAUCAUAUGAACCACAGAGACACACAAUAGUAACCACAUCAGAUGACAGGGCUGUAAGGAUAUGGGGCCCAAACAUACCACCAGCUCAUGCAUACAAUACAGUAGCAUACUGGGAAGGCAUAGAAAUAGUUUGCAAACAUGAAGUCUAUGGGCAUUUAGCGAGAGUCAUGAGGAGUUGCAUAACACAUGAUGUCAUAGUCUCAGUAGGAGAAGACUCAGCUAUAUGUUACUGGGAUUAUGAAGGAAACUUGUUGAAAAAGGCCCUCACACAUCAGAACGGCUGUAUAUGGUCUGUGGACAGUGAUGGUACUAGCUUAGUCACUGGAGGAGGGGACAGCGGAGUCAUUCUACACCCUCUCACCAUAGCCACUGAUUACUGUCAAGAAAAUAUCAUUGAUGUAGGUGUUACCACUCCUAAAAAGGUUUUAUUCACUGCCAGACACAACUUAGUUAUAAUGGAUGAUAGUAACUUGUUCUACUAUGAUGUUGUUAAUAAGAAUAAGACUGAACAUAAAUUAAAUCAUGAAUCUACUUACAAAUUGCUAGCUCUAUCGUCCUGUAAGCAACUAAUAGCUGUAGCAGAUAUGGCAGGCAAACUAGAUGUGUUUGUCGAAAAAUGUAAGGAUGAGGCUUUUAUACUAAAUGUUGUUAAUACUAAAUUGAAUGUGGGAAAGAUUUUAUCUAUGCAAUGGGCUGGAAACAGGCAUUUAGUACUUUGUUCUGGAGAUGGUAAUAUUACUGUUCUAGCUUCUAAUAAUGCAAGUGUAGAAGUUUAUGCUAAUUUUGUUCUACCAAAUUGCAAAGAAAGAUGGCUGACAGCAUCUUCAAUCGAACCUGACAACAAUAGAUUUAUUGUUGGAGAUAGAUGCGGUAAUAUACAUGUUUUUAUGAAAGGCCAGAAUAACCCAGUGAAGACCUUUCAUAAAGUCCACGGAAGAUAUGGACCGACAUCUAUUAAUGUUAGAAAUAAUAGGAUUAUUACUACUGGACGCGAUGGGACUAUCAAAUAUUUUUGUGUAAAUAGUGAUGUGGUGAAACACAUGAGCAGCAAAGACUUGGCUUUUGAAUGGGUCGAGAAAUUCUUAGAUAAAGACGAAAAUAUUAUUUGUGGGUUCCAAGAAAGAGUGUUUGUUGUAUACAAUGUUAAGGAAAAUAGUAAAAUGUUAGAAGUCGCGUGUGGAGGUGGACACAGGUCCUGGGAUGCAGUCAGAUACUUCGAGAAAAUAAAUGAAAAUUACGAAGAGUUCAUAAAACUGAUUUAUUUGAAAAACUCAGAUAUAAAUGCUGUAACAUUCCAACUUAGUAAAAUAGUUUCACGAAAUGUAAUAAAUGGAUCACAUGCUAAAGAAAUUAAUUGUUUGAAAUCACAAAGAGUUGGUGAUGCUACAGUAUACAUUACUGGCGGAGAAGACACUACACUAAGAAUUUCUAGUGUUGAUGCAGAAAUGAACUUUAAAGACGAAGUUAGCUUUAAGCACUUAUCAAGUGUAAGAACACUAAAAACAUUUCCCAUUGAUGAAAAUGAAAACCAUUUCUUAGUACUAUCGGCUGGAGGAAGAGCACAGCUUUGCAUUAAAGAUAUAAAGUUAACUAACGAAGAUAACAAAAUCAAUAUUACAUCAGAAGAAUUAGUAGAUUACCUCAUAAGGGGUACAGAUAAAGAGAGGAAAGGGAAUCAGACUUGGAGAAACUGUUCCAUUGACUUUGACCCUGAAAUGAGGAUCAUGGACAUAGAUGUGAUAAAAGAUAAAGAUAGACUUAUCAUCUUUGCUGGUUGCUCCGAUUCUUAUGUAAGAGUUUUCGCCUUCAAUGAAGAUAGUAAAAAGAUAGAGAUUAUCAAAGAAGCUAAAUAUCACAAAACAUGUAUUUUAAAAACGAAAUGUAUCAAAAUUUUGAACAGAAACAUCCUGAUCACUUGUACGACUAGAAGUGAAGUUACAUUUUGGGAUGUAACAGACAUUGUGAAUGCAAAUUUGGAACCAUUUUUCACUACAAAAACGAAUAAAUCAGGUAUAAACAGUAUUGCUACCGUCAAUGUAUCAGAAGACAAGGUUCUUGUGGCUACUGGGGGCGACGAUAACGCUAUACACACAAUAGUUGUAGAAAUCAAAGUCCAGAAUAACAUGACCUCUGCAAAAGUACUACAUGCUUGGAACAGUGCAAACAACCACAGCUCACAGAUAACUGGGCUUGUUAUAGUAGAUGACUAUCUGGUGUCUACGUCAAUAGAUCAGAGGAUAACACUGUUUCGAUGGAAGAUAGAUGUCGCGGGGAUAGAUUGCAAGUUUUUGUCGCAAUCUCAUACAAUGGUCAGCGAUGUUCAAGGGAUGGACCUUUUGGAGCAUAAUUGCGAAUCCAUAACAGUAUGUGUGUUUGGAAAAGGGAUGGAAGUGAUAGCUGUUCCGAAGAUCCCAGAGUAACCCUCACUGGGUGAGGAAUUCGCCAGGAGAUGAAACUACAUGAGAAGGAGCGAUGGAGUUGCCAGAUGGCGCCGGAAUUGAAGGCAGUGACAGGUCCAGUGACGCUGGGCGAGGGUCCGCACUGGGACCACGAGGAGCAGGCGCUCUACUUCGUCAGCAUCUUCGACUACACCGUCAACAAGUACGUGCCCGAGACUGGCAAGCACACCAAGGC